GACAGAGGUCCCGAGCGUUAGGCGGAAUCAUUGGGCUUAAAGCGUGUGUAGGCGGAUUUGUAAGUACCUUGUGAAAUCCCACGGCUUAACCGUGGAACUGCUGGGUAUACUGCGAAUCUUGGGCCAUCUAGGGGCUAGCGGAACAAACGGUGGAGCGGUGAAAUGCGUAGAUAUCGUUUGGAACGCCAAUGGUGAAAACAGCUAGCUGGGGAUGUGCCGACGCUGAGACACGAAAGCCAGGGAGCGAACGGG
rnacentral:rRNA from 1 species